rnacentral:lncRNA from 1 species
UGACGAAUUGAAGAAACCUUUGGUUGUUUCAUCAGAGCCAGAACCUGCGAUGAUUCCAGUUGCUGUGGAGCCGGAUGAGUCCCCCCGUGCUGGAAAAGAAGAUGCUUUGAUUAGAAAACCAGCAGGCUCCCAGUCUGCAGUCCACGGAGGUGAUGACAUGAUGGAUGAUCUUGAUGAGAUGAUUUUUGGUAAAAAAGCAGGCGGCACAUCUGAAGCAGGACAUGACACAAAGAAGCAGCAAUCACCAAAAGAUGAUCUCAUCUCAUUUUGAAUUCCUUCCCGUGCAUUUGACUUAAUACUGGAAUCCACAGGCUUUGGUGAUGUUAAUAUCAGGCUUGUUCAAUUUCUACGAACUCUUGUGCUCAUGAUUGAACCUUCUCAUAAAUGGAUGUAGAAACUUCGUCGAUUUGGUCUCCACAUAUACCUGAAUUACUUAUAGUUUUAAUGUUUGAACUAUUGGGAUUUAACUGCUUGGAAAAGAUGUGCCCUGCUUGUUUUUCAUGGAUAUUGGAUGA